CUUCCAGUAGCACCUUAGAGACCAACUAAGUUAGCUAUUGGUAUGUGCUAUAGUGUCGAAAGCUAAUACCAAUAACUAACUUAGUUGAUCUCUAAGGUAAUACUGGAAG